CCUACGGGAGGCAGCAGUGAGGAAUAUUGGUCAAUGGACGAGAGUCUGAACCAGCCAAGUAGCGUGAAGGAUGACUGCCCUAUGGGUUGUAAACUUCUUUUAUAUGGGAAUAAAAUGUUCCACGUGUGGGAUUUUGUAUGUACCAUAUGAAUAAGGAUCGGCUAACUCCGUGCCAGCAGCCGCGGUAAUACGGAGGAUCCGAUCGUUAUCCGGAUUUAUUGGGGUUAAAGGGAGCGUAGGUGGAUUGGUAAGUCAGGUGGGAAAGUUUGCGGCUCAACCGUAAAAUUGCAGUUGAAACUUGCAGUCUUGAGGACAGUAGAGGUGGGCGGAAGUCGUGGUGUAGCGGUGAAAUGCUUAGAUAUCACGAAGAACUCCGAUUGCGAAGGCAGUUCACUGGACUGCAACUGACGCUGAGGCUCGAAAGUGUGGGUAUCAAACAGGAUUAGAUACCCCAGUAGUC
rnacentral:rRNA from 1 species